UUGUUAUUGUUGUUGUGAUCAUGACAACGACGUCGCAGUGCUGCAGGAGGACCCGCCGUGCGCAUCGCAGCCGUGCGGCAACGGGGCGAGCUGCACGAACCGACUGCUCGGCGGCUUCGCGUGCGUCUGCGCCCACGGCUUCCUGGGGGCCACGUGCGAGCAAGAAGUGAACGAGUGCGUGUCCAGCCCGUGCCACGGGAGUGGCGAGUGCGUGGACCUGCCCGGGAGAUUCGCGUGCGUGUGUCGCCAAGGGCGCAGCGGGCAACGCUGCGAAUUCGGCACGGGUCCCAGGGAUGACGACGAGUGGGGUCUGUGUCAGCCAAACCCGUGCCACCACGGAGGCACGUGCCAGUCCAGCAGGCGACAAUUUCACUGCUUGUGCCCGCG